rnacentral:rRNA from 1 species
UACGAGGGGUGCAAGCGUUGCUCGGAAUUAUUGGGCGUAAAGGGUAGGUAGGUGGUCUCAUUUGUCCGGGGUGAAAGCCUUGAGCUUAACUCAAGAAGUGCCCCGGAAACGGUGAGACUCGAGUACUGGAGAGGGUCGUGGAAUUCCCGGUGUAGCGGUGAAAUGCGUAGAUAUCUGGAGGAACACCGGUGGCGAAGGCGACAUCCUGGACCGGUAUGACGCUGAGGCGCGAAAGCCAGGGGAGCAAACGGG